AUUUCUGGCAACAGCUGAUGAAUCUAAUGAAGAGCCUGUUUCAAAACAUUCGCCCAAGUCUGGAGAAAUUCUCUGCAAACACAAGGGUAAAGGUUUUGAGCAUUUUGCUCAUGGACUUUGUGAAAAAUGCUACAAUAAGUUCACUAAACUGUCGGGUGGACUAGAAGGUGGUUCUGACCCUCCAGCAUUCCAACGAGC